rnacentral:rRNA from 1 species
UACGAAGGGGGCUAGCAUUGCUCGGAAUCACUGGGCGUAAAGGGUGCGUAGGCGGGUCUUUAAGUCAGGGGUGAAAUCCUGGAGCUCAACUCCAGAACUGCCUUUGAUACUGAGGAUCUUGAGUCCGGGAGAGGUGAGUGGAACUGCGAGUGUAGAGGUGAAAUUCGUAGAUAUUCGCAAGAACACCAGUGGCGAAGGCGGCUCACUGGCCCGGUACUGACGCUGAGGCACGAAAGCGUGGGGAGCAAACAGG